CAAAAAGCAAUUUUCAAAACUUCUAAAGAAAGUAUGAUUAAAAAAAAAUACUGGAUAUUCUUGCUCCUUGGGAAAAGUUAGACCACUGCCUCUUACAUUGUAUCAUGCUAGCCAAAAUGCAAGCCAAAAUGACUCUGCAAGUUAUGAGUAGCAUUCAAACAUAGCACUCAAACAAUUCGUUUAGCAUGAGAAGAGGGAGGCAGUUUUUUCCAACACAGACAGAACCAAGAGAGAGCUGCCUGCAGAGGGUGGCCCUCAUGUUAGCUAAGCCGUUUCAGAAACCCUGUCCCACCAUGCAGUUGCCAAAGUUAGCAGAGAACUCUCGGAACAAGUAUGUGGGGAUCAAAAAUAAGCCCGGUGCUGGAUAAAGAAACAGAAACUGGGGCAGGGAUUUAAAAGAAAGAAGAAAGCAAAAUAACAACAUUCAGAUACUAGCUAGGAGUUUCUACCUCAGGACCAGAGCCUUCUUGCUUAGUUCUAAGUCUACAAAAUUCCCUUAUACUUGUAAUAGGACUGAAAGCAAGAGAAAGACUAAGAAAUCUUGCCUGUGUUCUGAGGGGAAAAAAAAAGGAGCACUGGCCCUUUGUUUUUAAGUCCUUAACCCUAUCAUGCUAUGAGAAACUGGCUGAUUCAGCUAAAAAUGCUUUCAAGAUCUGUAUAUCAAGGAAGGAAAACACCCCACCACUAUUUCAGUAAAGGAAGAAUAGGAGAUUAAAAAGAGAACACUAAUUCACUCUUAGAACAGUCCUUUGGGGGCUCUCUGUAAGACUCGCAUAUUGUUUUUCUUUUUUUUAUGUACCUACCUCUCCCUUCAUCAGCCAGCCCCCUUAGCCCUGGGAGGGGAAGUGACAGCAAGACUGACAAUUAAGAGGCCUGAGUUCUAAUCUCAAUUUUCUAAAAUUUUACCAGCUGAAAUUUUGUCUGCUUCCAGACUUCCUUAGACAAGCUUUCCCCCUUCCCAUAUGCCACCAGCCUCUGCUUUCUAAACCUCAGGUAGUCAGAAUUCAGGAAUUCCCAGGUAUAGAGAAUGGGAAGAGCCUGGGGUGCAGUGCGAGUGAGCUUUACAAAUCCACAUGGAGAGGCUGCUAUCUCAGCAGCCACCUUCAUCCCAGUUUCCCCUCGAUGACUUGAAAACCAACUAAUGCUAUUAGCAGCUGCUGGAGAGAGUUGACACCAGCCUGUGCUACUCAGCUACAAAGAACAGGGUACUAGAACUUUGUCUAAUAAGAGGGAAGAGACUCAUGCAGAUAGGACACAUUUUGCUGACCUGCAAGUUUCCACAGGCUGAAAGUUCCAAGAGGUGAACCAAACAAUAGGCUGAUUCAACACAACAAAAAUGUUCAGGUAGGUCUACUGCAAUGACUUUUCUCUGUAACUGUCAUGCCAGGGCAUAAUCAAACACCUACUUGGUUGCAAACAGUAUGUUAAUUGUGAAACAUUUCCAACAAAAAUUUAAAGCUGCCCAUGCCUGUUAGGACUAUUUACUGCUACAUAAAGGCCACGGAUCUGAAACAAAAUCCCUGGUGCCCCGAGUCACCUUCCCACGGUACCAGUGGGUAUCCCAUGAUAUGAAUCAUGUAACCCUCAGAAACUAAGAGCAAUUAUGUCUGAGUGACCUUGAAUAUUUACAUUGAAGAAGUAGAAUGUAAAGUGGUUAUGUUAAAUCUAAGCAAUCUAAAGUGUCUAAUUACAAAUGUCUUAAACACAUUAAGCGUUAGUGAACAGAAAUAGCCAGGGGAAGGGGUUAAUUAUGGUCAUCCUUAAGUUUGAUCUCCAAGGGGGGGUAAAAAAAAUAUCUGAAGUUACCUAAAAUAAGAGAUAAAACUUUUAUAGUCACAUAUUAUACUAUGGAUAGGAUUUUAUCUAUUAUAAGAGAAACCCCUAAAGAAUAAAAAUAAAUAUAACUGAAUAUUAAAUAGGUAAUAUAGGAUAUCGCUGUGAAGCUGCAUUAGACAGGAAAACCUAACACAAAAUCCCUUUAUGGAAGAUAAUGAAGUAAUGACUCAGAGGAAGGGCAUGGAGGCCCUGAGAAAGCCAAGAAGGAAUAGACAUCUGCAAGAAACAGCUUAUGUGACCACCUGUAUGCCACCUACCAUAUCAGCUACAACAAGGGCAAAGAGGCACAUGAAUUUGGACCAUUUCUAUAAUAAAAGAAUCCAAACUACAAAAUUGUGUAUGUGGGGGAGGAGGGGCAGGGGCAGGGGAGGUGUGUUAAGCGGUGCUUUUUUUGACUAAGGUGCACUUUAACUUCAAAAGAACAAUGGACUAUUUUUUUUGCAUAGCCUUGUUUCACUUUCAAAUGCAAGGUAAUUAAGCCUUCAAAACAUUCAGAAGGCAACACCGAAUAAUUUUAAAUAAAUUUUUCUAUUUUCAACGUUAAAGAAAUGGCUUUUCUUACAUAUGUACUACAUA